rnacentral:rRNA from 1 species
AGAGCGAACGCUGGCGGCAGGCUUAACACAUGCAAGUCGAGCGGGCGUAGCAAUACGUCAGCGGCAGACGGGUGAGUAACGCGUGGGAACAUACCUUUUGGUUCGGAACAACACAGGGAAACUUGUGCUAAUACCGGAUAAGCCCUUACGGGGAAAGAUUUAUCGCCGAAAGAUUGGCCCGCGUCUGAUUAGCUAGUUGGUGAGGUAACGGCUCACCAAGGCGACGAUCAGUAGCUGGUCUGAGAGGAUGAUCAGCCACAUUGGGACUGAGACACGGCCCAAACUCCUACGGGAGGCAGCAGUGGGGAAUAUUGGACAAUGGGCGCAAGCCUGAUCCAGCCAUGCCGCGUGAGUGAUGAAGGCCCUAGGGUUGUAAAGCUUCUUUUGUGCGGGAAGAUAAGUGACGGUACGCAAGAAUAACGCCCGGCUAACUUCGCGCCAGCAGCCGC